UACGUAGGGGCCUGGCGUUGUCCGGAAUUAUUGGGCGUAAAGAGCUCGUAGGUGGUUCGGCAAGUCGGAUGUGAAAUCUCCACGCUUAACGUGGAGGGGCCAUUCGAAACUGCUGUGACUUGAGUCCGGUAGGGGAGUGUGGAAUUCCCGGUGUAGCGGUGAAAUGCGCAGAUAUCGGGAGGAACACCAGUAGCGAAGGCGGCACUCUGGGCCGGUACUGACACUGAGGAGCGAAAGCGUGGGGAGCGAACAGG
rnacentral:rRNA from 1 species